UACGUAGGUGGCAAGCGUUGUCCGGAUUUACUGGGCGUAAAGAGCGCGCAGGCGGUCGGAUUAGUCGCGUGUGAAAGCCCCCGGCUCAACUGGGGAGGGUCACGCGAUACUGUUCGACUCGAAGGCAGGAGAGGGAAGUGGAAUUCCCGGUGUAGUGGUGAAAUGCGUAGAUAUCGGGAGGAACACCAGUGGCGAAGGCGACUGCCUGGCCUGUUCUUGACGCUGAGGCGCGAAAGCUAGGGUAGCAAACGGG
rnacentral:rRNA from 1 species